rnacentral:rRNA from 1 species
CCUACGGGUGGCAGCAGUCGAGAAUCAUUCACAAUGGGGGAAACCCUGAUGGUGCGACGCCGCGUGGGGGAAUGAAGGUCUUCGGAUUGUAAACCCCUGUCAUGUGGGAGCAAAUUAAAAAGAUAGUACCACAAGAGGAAGAGACGGCUAACUCUGUGCCAGCAGCCGCGGUAAUACAGAGGUCUCAAGCGUUGUUCGGAAUCACUGGGCGUAAAGCGUGCGUAGGCUGUUUGGUAAGUCGUGUGUGAAAGGCGCGGGCUCAACCCGCGGACGGCACAUGAUACUGCGAGACUAGAGUAAGGGAGGGGGAACCGGAAUUCGCGGUGUAGCAGUGAAAUGCGUAGAUAUCGAGCGGAACACUCGUGGCGAAGGCGGGUUCCUGGACAUUAACUGACGCUGAGGCACGAAGGCCAGGGGAGCGAAAGGGAUUAGAUACCCGUGUAGUC